rnacentral:rRNA from 1 species
AACGAACGCUGGCGGCAGGCUUAACACAUGCAAGUCGAGCGCCUCGCAAGAGGAGCGGCAGACGGGUGAGUAACGCGUGGGAACGUACCCUUAUCUUCGGAAUAGCUCUGGGAAACUGGAAGUAAUACCGAAUGUGCCCUUAGGGGGAAAGAUUUAUCGGAUAAGGAUCGGCCCGCGUUGGAUUAGCUAGUUGGUGGGGUAAAGGCCUACCAAGGCGACGAUCCAUAGCUGGUCUGAGAGGAUGAUCAGCCACAUUGGGACUGAGACACGGCCCAAACUCCACGCGGGGGGAGGGGGGGGGGAAUUUGGAAAAAGGGGGCCAGCCUGAACCCCCCCAUCCCGGGGGAGUAAUGAGGGCUUUGGGGUGGAAAACCCCUUCCACGGAAGAAGAUAAGGAGGUUACCGGGAAAAAAACCCCCGCCAACUUUGGUG